rnacentral:rRNA from 1 species
UUGAACGCUGGCGGCAUGCCUUACACAUGCAAGUCGAACGGUAACAGGUCUUCGGAUGCUGCCGAGUGGCGACCGGGUGAGUAAUACAUCGGAACGUGCCCGAUCGUGGGGGAUAACGCAGCGAAAGCUGUGCUAAUACCGCAUACGAUCUACGGAUGAAAGCGGGGGAUCGCAAGACCUCGCGCGGACGGAGCGGCCGAUGGCAGAUUAGGUAGUUGGUGGGAUAAAAGCUUACCAAGCCGACGAUCUGUAGCUGGUCUGAGAGGACGACCAGCCACACUGGGACUGAGACACGGCCCAGACUCCUACGGGAGGCAGCAGUGGGGAAUUUUGGACAAUGGGCGCAAGCCUGAUCCAGCCAUGCCGCGUGCAGGAUGAAGGCCUUCGGGUUGUAAACUGCUUUUGUACGGAACGAAAAAGCUCUCUCUAAUACAGGGGGUGAAUGACGGUACCGUAAGAAUAAGCACCGGCUAACUACGUG